UAGAGUUUGAUCCUGGCUCAGGAUGAACGCUGGCGGCGUGCCUAAUACAUGCAAGUCGAACGCACAGCGAAAGGUGCUUGCAUCUUUCAAGUGAGUGGCGAACGGGUGAGUAACACGUGGAUAACCUACCUCAAGGUUGGGGAUAACAUUUGGAAACAGAUGCUAAUACCGAAUAAAACUUCGUAUCGCAUGAUACAAGGUUAAAAGGCGCUACGGCGUCACCUAGAGAUGGAUCCGCGGUGCAUUAGUUAGUUGGUGGGGUAAAGGCCUACCAAGACAAUGAUGCAUAGCCGAGUUGAGAGACUGAUCGGCCACAUUGGGACUGAGACACGGCCCAAACUCCUACGGGAGGCUGCAGUAGGGAAUCUUCCACAAUGGGCGAAAGCCUGAUGGAGCAACGCCGCGUGUGUGAUGAAGGCUUUCGGGUCGUAAAGCACUGUUGUAUGGGAAGAACAGCUAGAGUAGGGAAUGACUUUAGUUUGACGGUACCAUACCAGAAAGGGACGGCUAAAUACGUGCCAGCAGCCGCGGUAAUACGUAUGUCCCGAGCGUUAUCCGGAUUUACUGGGCGUAAAGCGAGCGCAGACGGUUGAUUAAGUCUGAUGUGAAAGCCCGGAGCUCAACUCCGGAAAGGCAUUGGAAACUGGUCAACCUUGAGUGCAGUAGAGGUAAGGUGGAACUCCAUGUGUAGCGGUGGAAUGCGUAGAUAUAUGGAAGAACACCCAGCGGCGAAGGCGGCUUACUGGACUGUAACUGACGUUGAGGCUCGAAAGUGUGGGUAGCAAACAGGAUUAGAUACCCUGGUAGUCCACACCGUAAACGAUGAACACUAGGUGUUAGGAGGUUUCCGCCUCUUAGUGCC
rnacentral:rRNA from 1 species